UGAGUGCCCUUCUGAUGGAUAUGCUUAUGUGGGGACCAAUUUCUCUUGAGGAAACUCAUUUCUCAUGUGACUAUUAAAUAUUGAUCAGAUGCCACCUUUGUCAGCACCAAGCAAGCUACAUCCAAGCAGUGAUAGCAAAGCCUGCCCUU